GGUAUCAGCAGAGCAAAUGGGAUGAAGCAUGCACUGAAGGCAUUUGAAGAAACAAUUUUUCAGCUGCUUUUCUCAAUGCCAGAUGAUUCUGUUGCUCACUCCAUCUCUCUGGGUGAUGCUGUAAACAGGAAGUCACAGAGAAGAAAAAGAUUUUUUCUGUCAUCUGUGCUGGGGGAACACAAAGUGGGAUUCCCUGCAACAUACCAUAGGCUACCAGGAGGUUCCAGACUUGAGAUUCCAGAUCCAGGCUGUAGUUUAACAAGUCAGACCAUCACAAAUGUGUGUGUUUAUGAAGAUUUUUUUCAGGAGAUGCCAGCAAUAUAAAGAAGUUAUAUACUUCAAAAGGAAUUAAGUACCAACAGCAGCACUAACCAGUGAACCUGUCAUGAAGAAGGACAGACACACAAAGGACUGAUAUAGCUGCCUUUGGAAGUGGAAUUUACAUCUCUGACUCAGAAGUUAGGUUUUAUAUCACAAUGAUAUUCAGCAAAUAAUCAGAAAUUCUGAAGAACAAGGAGAGUCAGUUUAGGGGGCAAGGCAUAAACAUACUGGAGCUAAGCUUUGGUUUGUGUGAAUAUGUGUGUGAUAACCAGCAUCUCUCAAAAAACAGGAUGCCCAGAGUUGUUGUAGCUGCCCCAUCCCUGGAACUGUUCAAGGCCAAGCUGAAGAUGGCUUUGAGAAAUCUGCUCUAAUGGAAAGUGUCCCCGCCCAUGCUAGGGGAGUUGAACUAAAUGAUCUUUAAGGUCUCUUCCAACACAAGCACUUGA